UAUGUGACUGGUUAGAAGAGGGGGCAUGACUUGGCAUGGAACUGUAACCAAAAUGUUUUUACUUAAUGUUUCACUUGGCACAGGAGGAUCGGGUAACAAAAUAUUCACCCCAAAUCCCAUUUCAGUUGCUAAAAAGGCAUUUCAGUUCCCUGUGCUGCAGUAAAAAUACUUUUUCAUUUUAAGUAAAAUGGAUUUAAGAAGCUACAAGAGGCAAAAGAUGCUCAAUGGUGUCCAUCAAAGAGUUCAUUUCCCUUCUUCUGAUGCAAUAAAACUGAAAUUAUAAAACACCACUCACAUUUGCUAAUCUAGUACACAUUAGGAAAAAGGUGGAUGUGCAACAAAUGAAAACAUUCACUUCCUAUUUGCUUCAUCAAGUUCUGUUUUCUCCUUUUUAAAAGCUGGUGUUGCAUUGCCUGAACAGCAUUUCCUUCAGAACAAAUUACCUAAAGUCUUCAAAAUUGGCUUCAGUAUCUCCACCAACAGCCACAGUAAAGCUCCAUGAGAAACAAGUAAAAUUCAUUGAAUUCUUUGAGAUACUGAAUAUCUUUUAAACUCUUUUAUUCAUUAUAUGAAAAUACCUCACAGUGUUCAAACAUUUGUCAGCAUCACUUACCUGGUAACAGAACAUCUUAUUUUAUUCACAGUUGGUGGGUGUUGGGCAUUCUGCAUUGCUGGCACUCUUUGUUGGUGGGGCUGGGCUCUCUCAAACAAAAUUUCUUUUUGGUAGUUGGGUUAUGUUAAACGUACUCCCAACCUAGCAAGUGUCCUUUAAGGAAUUGAUUCUUUUUAAUAGUGUGCUCUAAUCUGAAGUACCACACCCACCACCUUCUAAUUCAAUUUUAUACUGGAACUGAAAAACUUUGUCAUUUUAUGUAUACUGAUUGAACUAGGGCCAAGGGGAAUAAAACCAUUAAGGCUUCACGUGAACUCAGAGAAGAAAGACUUCUUUGGUAAUAUAAUUACAGAGCACAGAGCUCGUAAGAGGAAAUGAACUACAGGGAUUUAUUUGAUUAGACUUUUUUUUCUUUUUCCUUCUUAAUGACAGCAAGGUCUCUCCUUCCCCCACCCCUUCCAGUCUAACAGUAGAUGUUAAGCAAAUUCUUGGCAGGCAGGAACUGGGACUGUUACAGAGGGAUGUUUCAAUGGGACACUGCUAUGGAAGGAGUUUUGAGUAUCUCACCAUUGCUGAGGAGCCUGAACACUCCAGCUACAUGAAGAGUUUGUUUGUACAAGGAGCUGAGGUUGUGUCCACCACAUCACCUUUCCAGCAUCAGGGCAAAGCUGGAGCAGGGUUCUGUGAGCCACUUCAGGGCUGUGCAAGCCUCAAGGGCAGUGACCAGUUGACUUUGUUGUCUUGGUAACGCUGUGGUUGACCUGGGUUGACCAGAUCAGUGUGACUUAAUCAUCCUAAGAAGGAAACAACUGCAACAAGUGGAGAGCUAAUUACUGUAGGUUCCCUCCCUGAAUGGACUUCCUCAAGCUCGUGCCUCACGUUCACAACCUUUGGCCUGCCUUAGCCUUCAAACAAUUCUGAUUGAGCACCUCCCUGGGACAACCAAGGCACCUGCAGCACUUAGUGCACUCUGUACACGGAUCUGUAUCAAUUCACACCCACACUGCAGUCUCAGGGAGCAGCAAUAAUGCAGCUGUGGAGAUCAUCUGGGAGACUAAAACAAUUGGUGUCCUGAUAGAAUCAUAACAGAGCUGGAGGAAAGGCAAUUUCAGCACAAAUCUCGACAGCAGAACGUGCUUCUGUUUAAGUCUGACCUGCUCUCCUUGCAGAAGCAGCAUGACAGAGUGUUUUGCAAAAGAUUUGUAUUUAUAUGCUUGGCUGUCAGCUCUAGAUGUUGCUCCUUGUCUGUAUAAUAACUACAUGGAAUGCUCAGUGGAGAUGUUCUCUAAAUUGAAAUAAACAGAAUCAAUGCAGACUUAACUGCACUGUCACACCACAUGAAUAAAACAUGCUGAUGGAUUUC